rnacentral:misc_RNA from 1 species
CAGAGUUUUAUAACUCCCAACCCUUUGUGAACUUACCUUUGUUGCCUCGGCGGGACCUACCCGGUACCGAUCCCUUUUGGGAGAAGCUACCCUGUAACCCGCCGGUGGAUAUUCAAACUCUUGUUAUUUUUAAUGUUAUCUGAGCGUCUUAUUUUAAUAAGUCA